UGGGGAAUCUUGCGCAAUGGGCGAAAGCCUGACGCAGCGACGCCGCGUGAGGGAUGAAGCUUUUCGGAGCGUAAACCUCUUUCGACCCGGACGAAUACCCGCAAGGGUUUGACGGUACGGGGAGAAGAAGCCCCGGCUAACUACGUGCCAGCAGCCGCGGUAAUACGUAGGGGGCCAGCGUUGCUCGGAAUUACUGGGCGUAAAGGGUCUGUAGGCGGUGCGGUAAGUCCGGAGUGAAAUCUCCAGGCUCAACUUGGAGGCUGCUUCGGAAACUGCCGUGCUCGAGUGUGGGAGAGGCGCGUGGAAUUGCAGGUGUAGCGGUGAAAUGCGUAGAUAUCUGCAGGAACACCAGUGGCGAAAGCGGCGCGCUGGACCACAACUGACGCUGAGGCGCGAAAGCGUGGGGAGCAA
rnacentral:rRNA from 1 species